CCUGCAGAGCAUGGCGCUGGAGCAGGUGAACCUGUCGCCGCGGGUGGCGCCGUCGCCGGGCGCGCGGGCAGGCUGCCGCUGCCGAUCCCGUCGCCGCGCCCCAGCCCGAGGAUCAGGCUGUCGCCGCGGCUCCACUACAUGGGGCUCCCGACCCCGACCAGCGCCAGGCUCCCAAUCCCGAGCCCGGCGCCGGGGGCCACCAGGCGGUCGCCCAAGCAGCAGUUCAUGGGGUUCCAGACGCCGGCCGUGGCGCUCACGCUCCCCAAGCACAAAGGCAAGUGAGCCGGCGGCGCUGCUCAUUGACAUGGCCGGCCGGCCUCGCCGUGUCGCCGCAGUUGCAGACUUUGCACCGCCGUUUUCGAAGGCGUUGCAGCGUUCGUUCAAUUGGUUAGAUGAGGGUUAACAAUUUUGUUGGUUGUUUGUCGUAAGAUG
rnacentral:lncRNA from 1 species